AUGGCGGCGGCGGCGGCGGCUGGGGCUGCAGGGGUCGGGCCGCUCCCGCGGCAGCAGCGGCCGGCCGCCCCCGGGCUCUGGGGGCGCGCCCUCGGGGUCGCAGGGGGUGCUGAUCGGGGACAGGCUGUACUCCGGGGUGCUCAUCACCUUGGAGAACUGCCUCCUGCCUGACGACAAGCUCCGUUUCACGCCGUCCAUGUCGAGUGGCCUCGACACCGACACAGAGACCGACCUCCGCGUGGUGGGCUGCGAGCUCAUCCAGGCGGCCGGCAUCCUGCUCCGCCUGCCGCAGGUGGCCAUGGCUACCGGGCAGGUGUUGUUCCAGCGGUUCUUUUAUACCAAGUCCUUCGUGAAGCACUCCAUGGAGCAUGUGUCAAUGGCCUGUGUCCACCUGGCUUCCAAGAUAGAAGAGGCUCCGAGACGCAUACGGGACGUCAUCAAUGUGUUUCACCGCCUUCGACAGCUGAGAGAGAAAAAGAAGCCCGUGCCUCUACUAUUGGAUCAAGAUUAUGUUAAUUUAAAGAACCAAAUAAUAAAGGCGGAAAGACGAGUUCUCAAAGAGUUGGGUUUCUGCGUCCAUGUGAAGCAUCCUCAUAAGAUAAUCGUUAUGUACCUUCAGGUGUUAGAGUGUGAGCGUAACCAACACCUGGUCCAGACCUCAUGGGUAGCCUCUGAGGGUAAGUGACUAAGACUUCUCCUCUGCUGUCCAAGCGCUUUGGUGCAGGGACAGCGGCGUCUUCAGCCAAUCCAGUGCAGGCUCUCCACCGAAGGCUGGCUCUAGACUGGUGGUACGCACAUAGCAUAGCCAUGGCCGACUCCUGCUGUGGUUCUCUGACGAUUGUGCUUCUUGUUAAUCCUCUGUCGUGCUUUGGUAAUUGUAUUGAUUAGAGUUGAUAACUGUCUUGACUUGAAUUUUGUCCCUUUAAAACUGCUGUACCUGUAUGAUAAAGAUGCAGUACCUUUCUCUUAAAAAAAAAAUGGUAUGGAAAGCUGUGAGAAUUGAAAAGACAAAUUGGCUGAUGUCAGUGUGGGGUUAUGUCAUGAUUUCUAGAAGCCCUGAGGUUGCUCUUUUCAGCAGCUUUGGGUGACACGCUCUGGUCAAAGGUGUGCAUCUUUAAAUUAUUUCAUGGAUACUUUAAAAAAUAUUGUAUCGUUUCAAAUACAGCAAUAAGUUUCUAUGUUCUCAA